rnacentral:rRNA from 1 species
GAUGAACGCUAGCUACAGGCUUAACACAUGCAAGCCGAGGGGUAACGAGAGGAAAGCUUGCUUUCCUUGUUGACGACCGGCGCACGGGUGAGUAACGCGUAUCCAACCUGCCCCCAACUAGGGAAUAACCUUGCGAAAGUAAGACUAAUACCCUAUAAUUUCCUCAGAUGUCAUCUGACGAGGAAUAAAGAUUUAUCGGUUGUGGAUGGGGAUGCGUCUGAUUAGCUUGUUGGCGGGGUAACGGCCCACCAAGGCAACGAUCAGUAGGGGUUCUGAGAGGAAGGUCCCCCACAUUGGAACUGAGACACGGUCCAAACUCCUACGGGAGGCAGCAGUGAGGAAUAUUGGUCAAUUGGCGGAAGCCUGAACCAGCCAAGUAGCGUGCAGGAUGACGGCCCUAUGGGUUGUAAACUGCUUUUAUACAGGAAUAAAGUUAGCCACGUGUGGUUAUUUGUAGGUACUGUAUGAAUAAGGACCGGCUAAUUCCGUGCCAGCAGCCGCGGUAA